rnacentral:rRNA from 1 species
CAGCCGCCGCGGUAAUACAGAGGGUGCAAGCGUUAAUCGGAAUUACUGGGCGUAAAGCGCGCGUAGGUGGUUCGCCAAGUUGGAUGUGAAAUCCCCGGGCUCAACCUGGGAACUGCAUCCAAAACUGGCAAGCUAGAGUAUGGUAGAGGGUGGUGGAAUUUCCUGUGUAGCGGUGAAAUGCGUAGAUAUAGGAAGGAACACCAGUGGCGAAGGCGACCACCUGGACUGAUACUGACACUGAGGUGCGAAAGCGUGGGGAGCAAACAGGAUUAGAUACCCCUGUAGUCCCUGUCUCUUAUAC